CCUACGGGAGGCAGCAGUCGAGAAUCAUUCACAAUGGGGGAAACCCUGAUGGUGCGACGCCGCGUGGGGGAAUGAAGGUCUUCGGAUUGUAAACCCCUGUCAUGUGGGAGCAAAUUAAAAAGAUAGUACCACAAGAGGAAGAGACGGCUAACUCUGUGCCAGCAGCCGCGGUAAUACAGAGGUCUCAAGCGUUGUUCGGAAUCACUGGGCGUAAAGCGUGCGUAGGCUGUUUCGUAAGUCGUGUGUGAAAGGCGCGGGCUCAACCCGCGGACGGCACAUGAUACUGCGAGACUAGAGUAAUGGAGGGGGAACCGGAAUUCUCGGUGUAGCAGUGAAAUGCGUAGAUAUCGAGAGGAACACUCGUGGCGAAGGCGGGUUACUGGACAUUAACUGACGCUGAGGCACGAAGGCCAGGGGAGCGAAAGGGAUUAGAUACCCCGGUAGUC
rnacentral:rRNA from 1 species